rnacentral:lncRNA from 1 species
UUUUUUUUUUGGUUCUGAGGGUCUCUGAGCAUCAAGUGCUUCUCUGAAGACGUGGGUGUAAUCAUAUUAUCUUUGUCACACACUCAGCCCUAUGCGCAGUCUGAGAUCCUGACAGCCCCUGACAGCUGCAGAGGGACUCACUAGCUAGGUCUGAAGCUCAGGAUGCAAGCCAGACUUGGGGUACCUUGAAGAGAAAGGGGUCUUCUGAGGAGUCCAGUGUGCAGUGCGCUACUUGGAUGAUUUAGUGAUGCUGAUGCCAGGACCCUCUGCGUUAGACCCUGAAGAAUUGCUUGGCCAUAACAAAGAUCCAUUGCCUUUCUGAUGACACCCAGCACCUCGGAUUCUGUAUACACGGGAGGUGAUUUAAGCAUCUUACUGCCACCCUGAAAUCUGGGGUCCUUUAUCCUGGCAGGUAAGACCCUUUUGUGUUUUCCCGACACUUACUUCGGAGACCGCCCCUCUAAGCAGAGGGCCAUGUCGCCUGCUGCGUGUUGCUGGGCUGGUCGUCCUUACAGGAUUUUCCCUUGUUCUCAGCAUCUAGACCCGUAACGCCCACUUCAGAAUGGGAGGGAGGAUGUCUGCUGCCCUGUCGUCUCCACACCCGAGGAAUGUCCGUGUGUGUGUGUGUGUGGUGUGCACAGCGGGCUGCACACAGCGGGCUCCACGGUGCUCGAAUGGAGGCCCUAAUGUGAAUGGAGACUAGCCUGCUGGUAGAGACCUUGGCAGUGACCGCUGUGGGCAAUGAGCCAUGGGCCAACAAUAUUCAAUGCUGUGUACCUGAUGGAUGGUUACUGUCUGAGACUGAGGCUUUUUGGGCCAGGAGUAAAAGGACUUGGUUUGUACUUGAUUGCGUCCUGUGGAUGCUUGCCUACCAACUGACUCAUCCUGACGUGCCAAAGGUCCUGGCUUUCCCCUGUGUGGAAUGAGAGCGUGGCUGGCAUCGCUUCAUGAUUACAUUCUGGGAAAGAUCUUGCCUGUUAACCUCUAGAGAAGGAGGGACGAUACAGACAACCACUGGUGGAAGUUGUUGUUAAACAGUGGGUCUUGCAUGCAAGCUCUACAGUUAUGCACAGUAUUUCCAUGACAUCCCAAGCCAUGAGGUUCAUGCUGCCAUAUCCCCCUGUUUAACAAGUGUGGAAACUGAUAAUGGACUCACAAUUGCUGAUGUAUAGGUUCUAAUGUUUUCUAUUGUGGACACGGGACACCCAGACUGAGGUUCGUGGAUUUUUGAAAUUUCUAAUAAUAAGAUAAAUUUGUGACUUAAUUUUGAGUGGAUGAACUUGAUUUGUUGUGGUUAUAUUGUUCAGUUAGUAUGUAAGUAAAUAUACAAAUAAAUGAAAAAGGGGUUGGCCAACUAUCAAUGUAUAGAGCACAUUGAUAGCAAAGUUGUUUACAUAACUUACACUUUUAGUCCUUAAAUACCAUACGAAUUGAGCAUGUUUUAUCUCUCCUUCUGAGAUCAUUAAAUGGGUCAUUAAAUAUAGGGACUAUAAGCAACUGUCAAUAUUGAUUAGGGUAGUUCAAUGUUAACAUUGUUGAUUUUUGAAGCUUUAUUAUGAACUUGGAAGCAAAGGCGCCACACACUGAAAUUAAGGAGAUCCAAAGACUUACUUUGAUAAUAGAAAAUUCAUAGCGAUUAUCAUAGGUUCAUAUGAUAUCACAUUAAUUGUUAUGCAAAACUUAUUCUUGUGAGUUCUCAAAGGUAGUUAUCCUCUCUAUUCAUCCCACAGAACCAAUGGCUCCAGUCUGAUUUAAACAUGGGUCCGU